CGCGUUCUGCACUAACACCGAAGUUUUA
rnacentral:rRNA from 1 species